CUCAGGUUCAAACAUAUCCUCAGAAACUGCCAUAUCAGCAGGUAGUGGAGAAAUCACAGACAUAGGUCACAAGGAUUUUUUGAGCUGUGAGACAUGAAAGACUGGAUGGAUGCGAGCGCCCUCAGGUAAUUGGAGUUGAUAGGCCAAUUGACCAAUUUUUGCCAUAAUCAGGAAAGGACCAUAAAAAUGAGCAGCAACUUGGAAUUAAUGUGAUUGGAAAUCGAAAAUUGACAAUGCAGCCUCAAUUUAAGAAACACUGAAUCACCAACAUUGAAUUGAACAUCCUGCCAAUGCUUGUUGGCCGUCUUAGUCAUAUGUUGCUGAGCACGCUGCAAAUUAUAGCGCAGCUAGCGUAAAAUCUUAUCCCUAUCAGCCAAGUCUUUAGCAAUUGCUUCGACCUUGAUAUCACCUGGCAAAAACUGAUAAAAGGUUGGAGGAGGUCUCCCAUACACAAUUUGAAAUGGUGUGCUACCAGCAACUGUAUGAAAACUAGUAUUAUACUAGUACUCAGUCCAACUCAACCACUCAAUCCAAUGCUUGAGCUAUUCAGAAGAGAACCAUCACAAGUACGUCUCCAAAGUAUGAUUUAAAACUUUUGUUUGGCCGUCAAAUUCAGGGUUGUAGGCUGUACUCAUACACAACUUAGUACCUUGGAGCUGAAAGAGUUCCUGCCAAAAAUUACUAAGGAAUAUGGGAUCUCGAUAACUAACAAUAGAAAAAGGCAUACCACGGAGGCACACAAUUUCUUCAGCAAAUAGAUCAGCAACUGUCUUAGCUUUGAAAGGGUGUUUUAAUCCCAAGAAAUGUCCAUAUUUGGAUAAGCGAUCAGUGACAACCAAGAUGCAAUCGAAACAAUUAGAGCGAGG
rnacentral:misc_RNA from 1 species